UACGAAGGGUGCAAGCGUUGUUCGGAUUUAUUGGGCGUAAAGCGCGCGUAGGCGGAAUAGAAAGUCAGAUGUGAAAUCUCGGGGCUUAACCCCGAACUUGCGUCUGAAACUACUAAUCUAGAAUAUUGUAGAGGAAGGCGGAAUUUCGCAUGUAGGGGUAAAAUCCGUAGAGAUGCGAAGGAACACCAGUGGCGAAGGCGGCCUUCUGGGCAAUUAUUGACGCUGAUGUGCGAAAGCGUGGGGAGCAAACAGG
rnacentral:rRNA from 1 species